GAUCCAGGUGGAGUUGAAGUUAUUUGUUUUGUUACUUUGGAAACAGAGCGUUUUAUUCUGAAGGAAAGCUUGUGUACUUCCUUUGUCAUCGUUAAAUCUUCACUGGCAUCAACAUCAUCAAGAACAACAACGUCAAUCACCAUCAUGAUUCUACACCACCUGUGGGCCCGGCGGAGCUGAGGCCGUGUGGCUGAUAUCGGUGCCAGGCCCGAGGCGGCGAUGAAGGUUCUGAUCACUGCGUGCAGCGAUGAGCUCAUAUUAACAGUCAGCUGAGACGUCCUGACUGUGUCACACACGACGAUGACAAACUCAAACAAACACAGCAGGGAAACGAACAGACGGCUGAAUAUUUCCUAAAGACGAGUCACAGCGGAAAUAUUCAUAAAGAAGAUGUGAUUUCACGCCCUCGAUGCACGGCAGCAACAUCUCCAGGAUAUAAAGUACCACAGAUACCAAACGUGUCACAUCACACUCACAUUAAAU